rnacentral:sRNA from 1 species
UUUUUUUUAAAAUUCACGCCCUUCCUG